AUGGUGGAUGAAAUAACGGAGGGAUUUGAGGACCUUCAGCUUGACCACCCUACCGGUGAAGGGGAGACUCGGCUGGGGUCUGCUCUGAAGACUCCAUGCCUAUGGCGGAAGGAGCUCAUCAACCUUCCGAACUGGACGCCUCCACCUCCUUCUCCUCCUCCGGCGAGUCAGGGCACUCCGCCUCCUCCACCGCCUCCUCCUCCGGCGAGUGUUGAUCAGGGCCCUCGGCCGGCUCCUUCUCCGGCGCGUGGCGGCACUCCGCCUGCGCCGGCGCGCCCGAGCAGCCAGCCUCCUCCUUCUCCGCCUCGUCAGCAAGGGCGGAAGAGACCCGCCGCCACUCCAGCAGCUGCUCCGGCGCGUUGUAGUCCUUCUCCUCCGCCUUGUAAGCAAGUAAAGAAGACAACCGCUUCGUCUGCUCGGCCGGCGUCUAGCAGUACAACCAGAGGCGGGAGGACAUACAGAUUCGGUCCUUCUCUGAAGAGUCCACAGAAGUUACCAUACGAGAGGACCCCGGAGGAGAACGCGAAGAUCGCGCGAACCGAAGUGGAUGACUGGUUUCAAGGGUUGAGAGCAAAGAGACAUCCACCUCCGGAGGAGAAGGUAGAUCCGGUGAAAGUGAAGCGCACUCUGGCUGCCCUGGCAAAACCACCCAAGUCUCCGCCGAAAGGCAACUAUGAGCGCAUUAUUGCAAAGACAUGGGCCGAAGCGGAGCGGUCGGGAAGUACGGUCAGUGAUCAAAGGCUGAAAGAACGACGAGCAGCUGGGAAACAAAUUGCCCAGCUCGGUGAACAAGCGAAGCAAUCGUGCCCCCCCCUCAAGGUGCCUAGCGACAUCGUCGAUCCGAGGAUGGUGCCCGGUUAUGGCAAUGUUGACGAUUACCUGCCCGACGAUGUACAUUAUGAUCCCAUGGAGGUGCAGAUACACAGAUACGAGUACGGGAAGCCUCUCGUCAAAGAUGAAAAAUCUUUAACAACGAUGAUGCGAAGAUUACAUGAUUGGUACUUGAAAAUUUGCAGAGAGUCUGGGGGGAGGAGUACUUUGUAUGCGAGAGUUAAACCGGAGCAUGACCUCGUUGGAAUUGAACUAUUUCCUAUUCCAUUUGAGGAGUUCUAUCAGUUUUUCAAUCAAUUGGCCCUCAAUAAAACAACGAUCACCUGCUAUUGUCUAAUGAAGAUCGCCGAAUUGAAGAAAAGACAAAUCGGUGAUAUUGGGUUCGUUAACACAUAUCUCAUAGAUGCAACUGAGGUUGAACAUCGUCCCGGAGAUACCGAGGCCAACUUGCUACGAUCAUUAAAAAAUGAAAACAAAGAUAUAAUACUCUUUCCUUACAACUUU
rnacentral:rRNA from 1 species